rnacentral:rRNA from 1 species
UACGGGGGGAGCAAGCGUUGUUCGGAUUUACUGGGCGUAAAGGGCGCGUAGGCGGUCAGCACAAGUCAGUUGUGAAAUCUCCGGGCUUAACUCGGAAAGGUCAACUGAUACUGUGCGACUAGAGUGCAGAAGGGGCAACUGGAAUUCUCGGUGUAGCGGUGAAAUGCGUAGAUAUCAGGAGGAACACCGGUGGCGAAGGCGGGAUCCUGGGCCAGUACUGACGCUGAGGAGCGAAAGCGUGGGGAGCAAACAGG